UACGUAGGGUGCGAGCGUUGUCCGGAAUUAUUGGGCGUAAAGGGCUCGUAGGCGGUUUGUCGCGUCGGGAGUGAAAUCCUACGGCUUAACUGUGGGCUUGCUUUCGAUACGGGCAGACUAGAGGUAUGCAGGGGAGAACGGAAUUCCUGGUGUAGCGGUGAAAUGCGUAGAUAUCUGGAGGAAUACCGGUGGCGAAGGCGGCAUCCUGGACCGAGAUUGACGCUGAUGAGCGAAAGCUAGGGGAGCAAACGGG
rnacentral:rRNA from 1 species